UUGAACGCUGGCGGCAGGCCUAACACAUGCAAGUCGAACGCGAAAGUCCUUCGGGAUGAGUAGAGUGGCGGACGGGUGAGUAACGCGUAGGAAUUUGUCCAGUAGUGGGGGAUAACGUUCCGAAAGGAACGCUAAUACCGCAUACGCCCCAUGGGGGAAAGAGGGGGAUUCUUCGGAACCUCUUGCUAUUGGAGAAGCCUGCGUCGGAUUAGCUAGUUGGUAGGGUAAAGGCCUACCAAGGCGACGAUCCGUAGCUGGUCUGAGAGGAUGAUCAGCCACACCGGAACUGAGACACGGUCCGGACUCCUACGGGAGGCAGCAGUGGGGAAUAUUGCGCAAUGGGCGAAAGCCUGACGCAGCCAUGCCGCGUGUGUGAAGAAGGCCUUCGGGUUGUAAAGCACUUUCAGUGGGGAGGAAAGGGCGCUGGCUAAUAUCCAGCGCAGUUGACGCUACCCACAGAAGAAGCACCGGCUAAUUCCGU
rnacentral:rRNA from 1 species